rnacentral:rRNA from 1 species
CAUAAGCGGAGGACAAGAAACCAACAGGGAUUGCCUCAGUAACGGCGAGUGAAGCGGCAACAGCUCAAAUUUGAAAUCUGGCCUUUUUGGAGGUCCGAAUUGUACUUUGCAGAAGAUGCUUCGGGUGUGGUGCCGGUCUAAGUUCCUUGGAACAGGACGUCAUAGAGGGUGAGAAUCCCGUAUGUGACUGCGCGCCUACGCCUUUGUGAAGCUCUUUCGACGAGUCGAGUUGUUUGGGAAUGCAGCUCUAAAUGGGUGGUAAAUUUCAUCUAAAGCUAAAUAUGGGCCAGAGACCGAUAGCGCACAAGUAGAGUGAUCGAAAGAUGAAAAGCACUUUGGAAAGAGAGUUAAACAGCACGUGAAAUUGUUGAAAGGGAAGCGCUUGCAACCAGACUUGCGUGCGGCUGAUCAUCCGGGGUUCUCUCCGGUGCACUCAGUCGUGCUCAGGCCAGCAUCGGUUUUGGUGGUCGGAGAAAGAUCGUGGGAAUGUAGCUUCUUUAGGGGAGUGUUAUAGCCCGCGGUGUCAUGCGACCUACCGGGACCGAGGACCGCGCUUCGGCUAGGAUGCUGGCGUAAUGGUUGUAAGCGACCCGUCUUGAAACACGGACCAAGGAGUCUAAUAUUUAUGCGAGUAUUUGGGUGUCAAACCCAGGUGCGGAAUGAAAGUGAACGGAGGUGAGAACCCUGUAGGGCGCAUCAUCGACCGAUCCUGAUGUCUUCGGAUGGAUUUGAGUAGGAGCAUAGCUAUUGGGACCCGAAAAAGAGUGAACUUUACGUGAAUAGGGUGAAGCCAGAGGAAACUCUGGUGGAGGCUCGCAGCGGUUCUGACGUGCAAAUCGAUCGUCAAAUUUGCGUAAAGGGGCGAAAGACUAAUCGAACUUUUUAGUAGCUGGUCUGCAG